rnacentral:rRNA from 1 species
UACGUAGGGUGCAAGCGUUGUCCGGAAUUAUUGGGCGUAAAGAGCUCGUAGGCGGUUUGUCGCGUCUGCUGUGAAAACUCGGGGCUUAACCCCGGGCCUGCAGUGGGUACGGGCAGACUAGAGUGCGGUAGGGGAGACUGGAAUUCCUGGUGUAGCGGUGAAAUGCGCAGAUAUCAGGAGGAACACCCGUGGUGCAGACGGCUUGCUGGACCUCCACUGACGCUGAGGCACGAAAGCGUGGGGAGCAAACAGG